rnacentral:rRNA from 1 species
UAGGGAAUCUUCGGCAAUGGACGAAAGUCUGACCGAGCAACGCCGCGUGAGUGAAGAAGGUUUUCGGAUCGUAAAACUCUGUUGUUAGAGAAGAACAAGGACGUUAGUAACUGAACGUCCCCUGACGGUAUCUAACCAGAAAGCCACGGCUAACUACGUGCCAGCAGCCGCGGUAAUACGUAGGUGGCAAGCGUUGUCCGGAUUUAUUGGGCGUAAAGCGAGCGCAGGCGGUUUCUUAAGUCUGAUGUGAAAGCCCGCGGCUCAACCGGGGAGGGUCAUUGGAAAAUGGGGGACUUGAGUGCAGAAGAGGAGAGUGGAAUUCCAUGUGUGGCGGUGAAAUGCGUAGAUAUAUGGAGGAACAACAGUGGCGAAGGCGGCUCUCUGGUCUGUAACUGACGCUGAGGCUCGAAAGGGUGGGGAGGAAACAGG